rnacentral:rRNA from 1 species
GGGGCAGCACGGUGUAGCAAUACAUUGGUGGCGACCGGCGCACGGGUGAGUAACGCGUAUGCAACCUACCUAUCAGAGGGGAAUAACCCGGCGAAAGUCGGACUAAUACCGCAUAAAACAGGGGUUCCACAUGGAAAUAUUUGUUAAAGAUUUAUCGCUGAUAGAUGGGCAUGCGUUCCAUUAGAUAGUUGGUGAGGUAACGGCUCACCAAGUCUACGAUGGAUAGGGGUUCUGAGAGGAAGGUCCCCCACACUGGUACUGAGACACGGACCAGACUCCUACGGGAGGCAGCAGUGAGGAAUAUUGGUCAAUGGGCGAGAGCCUGAACCAGCCAAGUCGCGUGAAGGAUGAAGGAUCUAUGGUUUGUAAACUUCUUUUAUAUGGGAAUAAAGUGAGGAACGUGUUCCUUUUUGUAUGUACCAUAUGAAUAAGCAUCGGCUAACUCCGUGCCAGCAGCCGCGGUAAUACGGAGGAUGCGAGCGUUAUCCGGAUUUAUUGGGUUUAAAGGGUGCGUAGGUGGUUAAUUAAGUCAGCGGUGAAAGUUUGUGGCUCAACCAUAAAAUUGCCGUUGAAACUGGUUGACUUGAGUAUAUUUGAGGUAGGCGGAAUGCGUGGUGUAGCGGUGAAAUGCAUAGAUAUCACGCAGAACUCCGAUUGCGAAGGCAGCUUACUAAACUAUAACUGACAC